rnacentral:lncRNA from 1 species
CACAAACUCCACAGCACAGCUGUUCCACAUUCAUCUUUUCCUUCUUGCAAAUUUUUCUUCACCGAGAGGCAGUUUCUCUCUAUUUUUGUUGUUGUUUGUUGUUGCAGAGCCAAUUACAAAAGGCUGGUGGGUGACUUGAGCCACUAGAGCAGGGUGGAAGUCUGCGAAGGUGUUUUGUACCCAGCAAGAUCUGCAGCAGAGCUGAGGGAGGGAAGCCCUUCACCUGAGCCCUAUCCCUGCUAUCGAGGCACAUCUUGACUCAGCUCCACAAGGCUCUGAAAUAGUCCAAAACAGGAGGACGGGCAUUCAGUCAAAGCAAGGAUUGCAGGAAAUGUCAGAUGUGUGAGCUGUAGCUAUUGGAAGGUGACAUGGAUGCCUUCUUGGAGUUGCUCCCAAGUGGCCUUUAUCUGGGACAGAAAGAGGAAUAAUAACUGCAAGCAAAGAUACCACCCAAUUGGAUGGCCCUGUUGUGUGACAGCAACCUAUCGCUGAUUGAAGCAGGUGUGGAGGUUUUGGAGCCUGCAGAUGUGCAUCUUGCUGACUGCAGCUCACAGAAGGGGUAUGAAGUUCUGGGAACCCCAUCCUCAUGA